rnacentral:rRNA from 1 species
UAGGGAAUCUUCGGCAAUGGACGAAAGUCUGACCGAGCAACGCCGCGUGAGUGAAGAAGGUUUUCGGAUCGUAAAACUCUGUUGUUAGAGAAGAACAAGGACGUUAGUAACUGAACGUCCCCUGACGGUAUCUCACCAGAAAGCCACGGCUAACUACGUGCCAGCAGCCGCGGUAAUACGUAGGCGGCAAGCGUUGUCCGGAUUUAUUGGGCGUAAAGCGAGCGCAGGCGGUUUCUUAAGUCUGAUGUGAAAGCCCCCGGCUCAACCGGGGAGGGUCAUUGGCAACUGGGAGACUUGAGUGCAGAAGAGGAGAGUGGAAUUCCAUGUGUAGCGGUGAAAUGCGUAGAUAUAUGGAGGAACACCAGUGGCGAAGGCGGCUCUCUGGUCUGUAACUGACGCUGAGGCUCGAAAGCGUGGGGAGCAAACAGG